UACGAAGGGGGCUAGCGUUGCUCGGAAUGACUGGGCGUAAAGGGCGCGUAGGCGGCUUGCACCGUCAGAUGUGAAAUUCCUGGGCUUAACCUGGGGGCUGCAUUUGAUACGUGUGGGCUUGAGUGCGGAAGAGGGUCGUGGAAUUCCCAGUGUAGAGGUGAAAUUCGUAGAUAUUGGGAAGAACACCGGUGGCGAAGGCGGCGACCUGGUCCAUUACUGACGCUGAGGCGCGACAGCGUGGGGA
rnacentral:rRNA from 1 species